AAGUGAUGCGGGAGAUGAAAGAGAAUUAUUAUUUAAUAUUAUUUAUGUUUGCAAGUCAAUUGUAUUUUUAUGUUUUAGGUCCUAGUAGUUUAUUGGGCUUUUAGUAUUUUAAUUUAGAAGUAAGGUUAUUUUUGUAAUAAGGCAAUUAGGGUUUCCUAGCCAGCAAGGGUAUUUUUGUAAUAAGGCAAUUAGGGUUUCCUAGCCAAUUAGAACUAGGGUUUAGUAAUCCUUUAUAAGCAACCUAUUGUACUCCUUGAGGAGACAGUUGAUAUUUUGAUGAAUGAAAACAAUGGCCGUUUGGUCUU